UACGUAGGGUGCAAGCGUUGUCCGGAAUUAUUGGGCGUAAAGAGCUCGUAGGCGGCUUGUCACGUCUGCUGUGAAAACUCGGGGCUCAACCCCGAGCCUGCAGUGGAUACGGGCUAGCUAGAGUGCGGUAGGGGAGACUGAAAUUCCUGGUGUAGCGGUGAAAUGCGCAGAUAUCAGGAGGAACACCGGUGGCGAAGGCGGGUCUCUGGACCGAUACUGACGCUGAGGAGCGAAAGCGUGGGGAGCGAACAGG
rnacentral:rRNA from 1 species